rnacentral:snRNA from 1 species
AACUCUUGUUCUCUUCAGAUCGUACAAAUCUUUCGCCUUUUCUAAAGAUUUCCGUGGAGAGGAACAACAAGAGUAUAUCCCAAUUUUUGUUGCCCUGCUUUAGUGGGGC